GUUUCGAUAGUUACACAAACAAGAAAUGCUGGGCUUAGAUCAUUAUGCAUCUUCUUCCUCAAUCUAACCUAGCCGUCAACAUGAAGCAGUGAAAGAAGUCUUUAACGUUGCCUUCCAGAUCGUUAUGCAUCUUGAGUAUUAAUCUCCUCCUCCUUUUCUGAUGUUCCAUUCUUUCUUCUUAUUUUUCGUCGUUUUUCAACCGUGGAUUUGGAGAGCUGCCGCGUACGUCUCUGUUCAUCAACGUCACCAACGGACUACCAUUGCAAGCCAUGGAUUUCGGCUCUCCUCUUUGUUUUAAGGCGGCGGGGUGACGCCUGAGGUUCCUCCCAGUCUCUGAAACUGUCAGAUUUAUGACUUUUUAUUUGUAUUUUUACUCAACGCUGAUUUGUUUGGUGGUAGAGGAGACCAUCGACUCUGCUUGCUGUUUAAAAUAAAUCCAGAUUCAAACCUCUCCACCUAGCAGAUUCCGAAGUCUUUAAGAUCACAUGAGAGCCUGGGGUUGUUAUUGCACCAAGUUUGCAGCUUUAGAUGAUCGUUUUCUCCAUAAGGUCUUGGGAUGGAGUAUAGUGGAGGAUGAAGCGGGUGGUCUUUAAACAUGGGAUGAGAGAGUAUGUCAUCGGAGAUUUCAUCAAUUUGUUUGGAAGCUUCGCUAUUAAAUUUUGGCACAAUCCUUCUCAAAUUGAGACUAAUAAGAGAGAGAGAGAGAGGGAGUGAUGUAACGAACGGCUACUUGACUCCGUGUUCAGGGGAAACUCACCCACCUAUAUUUAGGUCUCCAGUGAAAGGUAUUGAGGGCAUCUUGACCAACCAACUCAUGUGAGAAUACAGACUUAGAUCAGAGGUUUCUUCUAACUCUUAGUGCCUCAGCUUCCAAAUCCUUUCCAGUCUCACUCGCUCUUCUUCUCCUACGAUUAGUUGUGCUUCCGUUUCAACUUCCUCUCUUGAGAUUCUCUCCAUAUGUGUGCUGAUUGAGUUUUCCAAUCAUCACAGUAUUUUCUUAACUGCGUAUGUGAAAUUCUUGUGGUGUUUAAGUCGGUGAAAAUAUCAUGUUGAUGCUCUGUUAUACUUUAAUGUAUAUUUAAUUUUCAUUGUAUGAAACAUAUUACACGACAAA